rnacentral:rRNA from 1 species
AUACGUAGGUGGCGAGCGUUGUCCGGAAUUAUUGGGCGUAAAGGGUGUGUAGGCGGAUAUUUAAGUGAGAUGUGAAAGACCCGGGCUUAACUCGGGCAGUGCAUUUCAAACUGGAUAUCUAGAGUGCAGGAGAGGAGAAUGGAAUUCCUAGUGUAGCGGUGAAAUGCGUAGAGAUUAGGAAGAACACCAGUGGCGAAGGCGAUUCUCUGGACUGUAACUGACGCUGAGGCACGAAAGCGUGGGUAGCAAACAGGAUUAGAUACCCUGGUAGUCCACGCUGUAAACGAUGAGUACUAGGUGUAGGGGGUAUCGACCCCCCCUGUGCCGCAGUAAACACAAUAAGUACUCCGCCUGGGAAGUACGAUCGCAAGAUUAAA